rnacentral:snoRNA from 1 species
AGCCUCUCAGCUACACUUGAUCACACAGGCCCAUUGUGUGCUUGGCAUAUGUUCAGGGAGAGAGAGGAAGGCUUUCUUAAUGCAGGAUAGAGCUACCCCAAAUGGCCUCUCUGUUCCUAGGAGUGUGACAGGU